rnacentral:rRNA from 1 species
AUUGAACGCUGGCGGCAUGCCUUACACAUGCAAGUCGAACGGUAACGCGGGGCAACCUGGCGACGAGUGGCGAACGGGUGAGUAAUGCAUCGGAACGUGCCCGGUAGUGGGGGAUAACUGCUCGAAAGAGCAGCUAAUACCGCAUACGACCUGAGGGUGAAAGGGGGGGAUCGCAAGACCUCUCGCUAUCGGAGCGGCCGAUGUCGGAUUAGCUAGUUGGUGGGGUAAAGGCCUACCAAGGCGACGAUCCGUAGCUGGUCUGAGAGGACGACCAGCCAAACUGGGACGGAGACACGGCCCAGACUCCUACGGGAGGCAGCAGUGGGGAAUUUUGGACAAUGGACGCAAGUCUGAUCCAGCCAUGCCGCGUGCGGGAAGAAGGCCUUCGGGUUGUAAACCGCUUUUGUCAGGGAAGAAAUCUUCUGAGUUAAUACCUCGGGAGGAUGACGGUACCUGAAGAAUAAGCACCGGCUAACUACGUGCCAGCCGCCGCCGUAACAC